UGGGGAAUUUUGGACAAUGGGCGAAAGCCUGAUCCAGCCAUGCCGCGUGCAGGAUGAAGGCCUUCGGGUUGUAAACUGCUUUUGUACGGAACGAAAAGUCUCUUUCUAAUAAAGAGGGAUCAUGACGGUACCGUAAGAAUAAGCACCGGCUAACUACGUGCCAGCAGCCGCGGUAAUACGUAGGGUGCAAGCGUUAAUCGGAAUUACUGGGCGUAAAGCGUGCGCAGGCGGUUAUAUAAGACAGUUGUGAAAUCCCCGGGCUCAACCUGGGAACUGCAUCUGUGACUGUAUAGCUAGAGUACGGUAGAGGGGGAUGGAAUUCCGCGUGUAGCAGUGAAAUGCGUAGAUAUGCGGAGGAACACCGAUGGCGAAGGCAAUCCCCUGGACCUGUACUGACGCUCAUGCACGAAAGCGUGGGGAGCAAACA
rnacentral:rRNA from 1 species